AACGAACGCUGGCGGCAUGCCUAACACAUGCAAGUCGAACGAGACCUUCGGGUCUAGUGGCGCACGGGUGCGUAACGCGUGGGAACCUGCCCUUAGGUUCGGAAUAACUCCCCGAAAGGGGUGCUAAUACCGGAUAAUGUCUUCGGACCAAAGAUUUAUCGCCUUUGGUUGGGCCCGAGUUGGAUUAGCUAGUUGGUAGGGUAAAAGCCUACCAAGGCGACAAUCCAUAGCUGGUCUGAGAGGAUGAUCAGCCACACUGGGACGGAGACGCGGCCCAGACUCCUACGGGAGGCAGCAGUGGGGGAUAUUGGAAAGUGGGCGGAAGCAUGAUCCAGCAAUGCCGCGUGAGUGAUGAAGGCCUUAGAGUUGUAAAGCUCUUUUACCCGGGAUGAUAAUGACAGUACCGGGAGAAUAAGCUCCGGCUAACUCCGUG
rnacentral:rRNA from 1 species